AUUAAGUGGGACAUAAAAUUGUCAUCCCGUGGCUUGUCCACGGGAUCCAGAAAAAAUUUUGAUUAAAAGACUGGAUCCCGUGGUCAAGCCACGGGAUGACAGAACUCAGUAUGCUCUAA
rnacentral:ncRNA from 1 species